AGCGGACGCCACUGCCGAAAGGCCGGCGUCUGAGGAAAGUCCGAGCACCACAGAGCAGGGCAGCGGCUAACGGCCGCCGAAGGCGACUUCAGGGCAAGUGCAACAGAGAGAUACCGCCGCCCUUUGGGGCGGUAAGGGUGGAAAGGCGAGGUAAGAGCUCACCGGCGCAUGGGAGACCAUGCGGCCAUGUAAACCCUACCCGGUGCAACACCGUAUUAAGAAAACAGUUUUGCGUCUGCUCGGCGCGUUUUCGACAAGGUGGCUGGAGCUGUACUGGCAACAGGCAGCCAAGAAAGAUUGUCAUCGAAUACAGAACUCGGCUUACAGAUUUGCUCA
rnacentral:RNase_P_RNA from 1 species